rnacentral:rRNA from 1 species
UUUUAUGGAGAGUUUGAUCCUGGCUCAGGAUGAACGCUGGCGGCGUGCCUAAUACAUGCAAGUCGAGCGAACGGACGAGAAGCUUGCUUCUCUGAUGUUAGCGGCGGACGGGGGAGUAACACGUGGAUAACCUACCUAUAAGACUGGGAUAACUUCGGGAAACCGGAGCUAAUACCGGAUAAUAUUUUGAACCGCAUGGUUCAAAAGUGAAAGACGGUCUUGCUGUCACUUAUAGAUGGAUCCGCGCUGCAUUAGCUAGUUGGUAAGGUAACGGCUUACCAAGGCAACGAUGCAUAGCCGACCUGAGAGGGUGAUCGGCCACACUGGAACUGAGACACGGUCCAGACUCCUACGGGAGGCAGCAGUAGGGAAUCUUCCGCAAUGGGCGAAAGCCUGACGGAGCAACGCCGCGUGAGUGAUGAAGGUCUUCGGAUCGUAAAACUCUGUUAUUAGGGAAGAACAUAUGUGUAAGUAACUGUGCACAUCUUGACGGUACCUAA